AACGAACGCUGGCGGCAGGCCUAAUACAUGCAAGUCGAGCGCACUCUUCGGAGUGAGCGGCGGACGGGUGAGUAACGGGUGGGAACGUGCCCUUCACUAAGGAAUAGCCACUGGAAACGGUGAGUAAUGCCUUAUACGCCCUUUUGGGGAAAGAUUUAUCGGUGAAGGAUCGGCCCGCCUUAGAUUAGGUAGUUGGUGGGGUAAUGGCCUACCAAGCCUACGAUCUAUAGCUGGUUUGAGAGGAUGAUCAGCCACACUGGGACUGAGACACGGCCCAGACUCCUACGGGAGGCAGCAGUAGGGAAUCUUAGACAAUGGGCGCAAGCCUGAUCUAGCCAUGCCGCGUGUGUGACGAAGGCCUUAGGGUCGUAAAGCACUUUCGCCAGAGAUGAUAAUGACAGUAUCUGGUAAAGAAACCCCGGCUAACUCCG
rnacentral:rRNA from 1 species